rnacentral:ncRNA from 1 species
UUCAUCGUUAGGUGGAAUCUGAAGGAAAUCGGCGGCAAAUCUCCGCCCUAAGGGACACGAACUUCAGAUAAGGCUAGGUGUAUUUGAAAUGAGAUUGUCAAACAAAUCAAAGUUCUUACUGCCAAAGGAUACAUCAUCAAAUAAAUGAAGUAGGGAGAUGGAGCGGAAGAAUGAGUG